UCCGUUUUCCGGGGCCUGUCCGGAAGUGUGCGCUGAGCGGGUGCGGUCCGGGCCAAUGCCGGGGGGCUCAGGCCUGGUGGCUCGGGCAGCCUGCUGGGCCCAGACAUUGGGUUCCGGAAGGGUAAGCCCCGGAACGUGGAGCCUGCACCCAGCAGCCUGUGGCGACAGCCUGUGUGUCGGCCAUCUCCCCCCCGGGGAGGGGUCUUCCUGGGAGACGCCUGGGUGUGGUGCUCCCUGCCCCUCGAGUGUUCCUCCGGGCGCCAGAGCCUGUCCGACAUCCGCGGCCUGCUUCCCGCCAGCUGGCUAAGAGCCUGAGCUGCUCUCGACGCCCUCGCCGGGGACCGAAUGCCCGCGUCCUCGAGCGUCGCGAGCUAAGCCCUGACCUGCAGCGUGAGUGGGCUUGGGGGUGGGACGUGAUUAGUGAUUAAGGCUACAGUGAGGUUAUGGAGUCGGGCUGUGACCAGGCCAGACCCAUGUCCCUAGCAGGGCGGGGACGCCUGGGCUGGGCUUUCCCUCCCCGCUGCCCGCAGCAAAGAUAGGCCACUGGAGGGCGCGGCAAGGUGGGGUGUCUUCAAGUACUGGGGAGACGCUUCACCAGAAACCACUCUGCUGGCACCUCGGUCUUGGACUUCAGCCUCCAGCACCGUGAGAGGUAAGUGACGGCUGUGCAGGUGACGCGCCGCACGGUGUUUGUCAUGCCGUCAGAGCAGACUGAGGAGCCAUUCCCCUCACCCACGGCCGCUCCGAGCCGCCCUUCUCCCAUCGACACCAGCCCCCGCCCUCCAGCUGGAAAAGCCUCCUGUCCCCUGAACCAAGCUCGGUGAAGCACCUGGUUCAGAUCCUGUCCCAGGCGGAGAGGGGGGCGGUCACCUGAAGCAGGACGGGUGUGCGCCAGAGCCAGGAAGGUGCUUGCGCUUGGUAAGUGUAACCAGAAGCAAUAAUGUCUUGCUUUGCACUUGCGCACGGGCAGACACACUCGUGCACAUCAGACAAGCUUGUGCAUGGAUGGACACGCUUGUGCACAAGCAGACAAAUUUGUGCAUGGGUAGGCAUGCUUGUGCAGGGAAGACACACUUGUGCACGGGCAGACACGCUUCUUAAAGUGCAUCAGCUGGUGUCAGUAAUGUAGCUGAACCCCCUUUAUUUUGCAGGAAAGGAGAAUUCUCCUCGUGUGUAGCUGAGAAGCCCGCUCAGGUGACAGAUUCAGGGUCCUCAGACUGUGGCUUCAUGGUCAGGCGUCCAUGGCCCCAAGUCCAUUGCUAAGAUGAAUGCUGCCCUUUUAAACGAUGAAUAACUAUGUAAGAAUAAUUAUUCUGUGGAGCCAGAGUACCACAUGAAUAUUUUCCCCAGAAUACUUUCCAAACACCCUUAGAAAAUAGGAAUUUGUGAGAAACCUUUGAGGAUGGACAUAACUGAGGAGUUGCUUCCUGGAUUUUAAUUUUCUUUCAAGAUUGUGGAAUUUCGAGUUUGGUGAUCGGAGUUCAGGUUCCUACUGACUGAUCUCAGCGCAUUGUUGAGCGUGGUCCUGCGGACCGGGAACCGGAGGUGGCGAGACAGAGCCCCUCCUGCAGAGGCCCCGCGAUGCCCGGUGACUGGGGAGCCCAGACGCUGGCCUCCACUUCCCUAGGGGCUUCCUGGGGCGGCUGUGACCAAGCUCCCCGCACGGAGCCGCUCGAACCGCAGGAUCCGCUGUCUCCCAGCUCUGCAGCCGCAAGUCUGAGGUCGAGGCGUCUGCAGGACUGGCUCGGUCUGAGGCCCGUCUCCACCUCGGAGUGGCUUCCUGUCCUGGUGCUCUUUGGCCUGUGGACACGCUGCUCCCAUCUCUGUCCCCAUGUGCACAUGGUCUUCUCCCUGUGUGCUCAUCUGUCGGUCCGAAUGCCCAGAUUUGCCCUUGUUGUAAGGACGCGGUCUCACUGGGUUCGGGGUCCAUCCAACUCGACCAUCGGCAGACUCUUCCCAGGUACGGUCCAUGCACAGGUGCAGGGGCUUCGCCAGCUUCCGAGGGCCACAGCUCAAUCUAGGAUAACUGUCGGGGUUAUUGCUGGCUCCCCUGUGGGGGCUUUGCCACCAAACCCGCAACAGCUGACGAAGGCGGGAGGCAGGGUCUGUACCCUGGGCGCGGCUGUCCAGGGGACACGAGGUGGCCUCAUCUGCCCGCGUGAGGCCUGCAUAGGUCAGGGUCAAAUAAGACUGUGAACCUCACGGACAGUUUGGGGUCUCGAUGUCAGAGAACCAUCCCAGACGCUCCCAUGGCCACGGACACGUCUCUAACCACAGCGAGCAAUCACGGAAACGUCCCCGCUGAGGAACAUGGGACAGUAGCACAAGACACACAGUUGCAGCCCCAGUGAUUAAGGAAGUAUGAGGCAGCCCUCCGCCAGUUUUGCGAAAAUGGUAUUUUGCAGGAUAGUGUGGAAGAUGGAAAGACACCUGGUCCUGAUAUAUCGUGUUGGGAAAAUUGUGCCAGGAAAGCAGGAACACUGGAGGGAUUUGUGUGGUGUCUCGGGGUCAUCACAUAAUUGUGAGUGUAGCUUAUAUUCCGUGUAAAAUAAAUUAUAAUAAAUCUGGGGCACCUGAGUGGCUCAGUUA